rnacentral:rRNA from 1 species
UUUGAAAUCUGGCCCCCAGGGCCCGAGUUGUAAUUUGCAGAGGAUGCUUUUGGCGAGGCGCCUUCCGAGUUCCCUGGAACGGGACGCCAUAGAGGGUGAGAGCCCCGUCUGGUUGGAUGCCGAGCCUCUGUAAAGCUCCUUCGACGAGUCGAGUAGUUUGGGAAUGCUGCUCUAAAUGGGAGGUAUAUGUCUUCUAAAGCUAAAUAUUGGCCAGAGACCGAUAGCGCACAAGUAGAGUGAUCGAAAGAUGAAAAGCACUUUGAAAAGAGGGUUAAAAAGUACGUGAAAUUGUUGAAAGGGAAGCGCUCAUGACCAGACUUGGGCCCGGUGAAUCAACCAGCGUUCUCGCUGGUGCACUUUGCCGGGCUCAGGCCAGCAUCAGUUUGCUCCGGGGGAUAAAGGCUCUGGGAAUGUGGCUCCUCCGGGAGUGUUAUAGCCCACUGCGCAAUACCCUGGGGCGGACUGAGGACCGCGCAUCUUGCAAGGAUGCUGGCGUAAUGGUCAUCAGCGACCCGUCUUGAAACACGGACCAAGGAGUCGUCUUCGUAUGCGAGUGUUCGGGUGUCAAACCCCUACGCGUAAUGAAAGUGAACGCAGGUGAGAGCUUCGGCGCAUCAUCGACCGAUCCUGAUGUUCUCGGAUGGAUUUGAGUAAGAGCAUACGGGGCCGGACCCGAAAGAAGGUGAACUAUGCCUGUAUAGGGUGAAGCCAGAGGAAACUCUGGUGGAGGCUCGCAGCGGUUCUGACGUGCAAAUCGAUCGUCAAAUAUGGGCAUGGGGGCGAAAGACUAAUCGAACC